AUAUCAAUCCAAACCCGUCUCGC
rnacentral:siRNA from 1 species